rnacentral:rRNA from 1 species
UGGCGGACGGGUGAGUAAUGUCUGGGAAACUGCCCGAUGGAGGGGGAUAACUACUGGAAACGGUAGCUAAUACCGCAUAACGUCGCAAGACCAAAGAGGGGGACCUUCGGGCCUCUUGCCAUCAGAUGUGCCCAGAUGGGAUUAGCUAGUAGGUGGGGUAACGGCUCACCUAGGCGACGAUCCCUAGCUGGUCUGAGAGGAUGACCAGCCACACUGGAACUGAGACACGGUCCAGACUCCUACGGGAGGCAGCAUG